rnacentral:misc_RNA from 1 species
GAUGAAGAACGCAGCGAAAUGCGAUACGUAAUGUGAAUUGCAGUAUUCAGUGAAUCAUCGAAUCUUUGAACGCAUAUUGCGCUCUCUGGUAUUCCGGAGAGCAUGCUUGUUUGAGUAUCAGUAAACACCUCAACUUCCAUAUCUUUUUUUGAAAUGGGAGUUGGACUUGAGUGAUCCCAACGCUUUUCCUCACCGAAAAGUGGCGGGUUACUUGAAAUGCAGGUGCAGCUGGACUUUUCUCUGAGCUAUAAGCAUAUCUAUUAGUCUGCCUAAAAAACAGAUUAUUACCUUUGCUGCAGCUAACAUAAAGGAGAUUAGUUCUUGUGCUGACUGAUGCAGGAUUCACAAAGACAGCUUCGGCCGACUUUGUAAACUCGAUCUCAAAUCAAGUAAGACUACCCGCUGAACUUAAGCAUAUCAAUAAGCGGAGGA